AGUGAACGCUGGCGGUAGGCCUAACACAUGCAAGUCGAACGGCAGCACAGUAAGAGCUUGCUCUUACGGGUGGCGAGUGGCGGACGGGUGAGGAAUAAAUCGGAAUCUACUUUUUCGUGGGGGAUAACGUAGGGAAACUUACGCUAAUACCGCAUACGACCUACGGGUGAAAGCAGGGGAUCUUCGGACCUUGCGCGAUUGAAUGAGCCGAUGUCGGAUUAGCUAGUUGGCGGGGUAAAGGCCCACCAAGGCGACGAUCCGUAGCUGGUCUGAGAGGAUGAUCAGCCACACUGGAACUGAGACACGGUCCAGACUCCUACGGGAGGCAGCAGUGGGGAAUAUUGGACAAUGGGCGCAAGCCUGAUCCAGCCACACCGCGUGGGUGAAGAAGGCCUUCGGGUUGUAAAGCCCUUUUGUUGGGAAAGAAAAGCAGCAGGUUAAUACCCCGCUGUUCUGACGGUACCCAAAGAAUAAGCACCGGCUAACUUCGUG
rnacentral:rRNA from 1 species